AACGUAGGGUUCGAGCGUUAUCCGGAAUUACUGGGCGUAAAGCGCGUGUAGGCGGUGAUGGAAGUCGGACGUAAAAGCUCCUGGCCCAACUGGGAGAGGCCGUUCGAAACUCCAUGACUAGAGGCUAGUAGAGGCAAGUGGAAUUCCCGGUGUAGUGGUGAAAUGCGUAGAUAUCGGGAGGAAGACCAGAGGCGAAGGCGGCUUGCUGGGCUGUGCCUGACGCUGAGACGCGAAAGCCAGGGGAGAGAACGGGAUUAGAAACCCCCGUAGUCC
rnacentral:rRNA from 1 species